rnacentral:rRNA from 1 species
UACGAAGGGGGCUAGCGUUGCUCGGAAUUACUGGGCGUAAAGCGCACGUAGGCGGCUUUCUAAGUCGGGGGUGAAAUCCUGGAGCUCAACUCCAGAACUGCCUUCGAUACUGGAAAGCUCGAGUCCGGGAGAGGUGAGUGGAACUGCGAGUGUAGGGGUGAAAUUCGUAGAUAUUCGCAAGAACACCAGUGGCGAAGGCGGCUCACUGGCCCGGUACUGACGCUGAGGUGCGAAAGCGUGGGGAGCAAACAGG